CGGGAGGCAGCAGUGAGGAAUAUUGGUCAAUGGACGAGAGUCUGAACCAGCCAAGUAGCGUGCAGGAUGACGGCCCUAUGGGUUGUAAACUGCUUUUGUACGGGAAUAAAGUGACCCACGUGUGGGUUUUUGCAUGUACCGUAAGAAUAAGGACCGGCUAAUUCCGUGCCAGCAGCCGCGGUAAUACGGAAGGUCCGGGCGUUAUCCGGAUUUAUUGGGUUUAAAGGGAGCGUAGGCCGUGCUUUAAGCGUGUUGUGAAAUGUAGGCGCCCAACGUAUGCACUGCAGCGCGAACUGGAGCACUUGAGUGCGCAGGAAGUAGGCGGAAUUCGUCGUGUAGCGGUGAAAUGCUUAGAUAUGACGAAGAACUCCGAUUGGGAAGCCAGCUUACUGUAGCGCCACUGACGCUGAUGCUCGAAAGCGUGGGUAUCAAACAGGAUUAGAUACCCUGGUA
rnacentral:rRNA from 1 species